UAAAAUUGUAUUGUAACUCUUUUAUAUGUAAAGAGUAGUGCAUCUAAUUUUAAAAGAAUGGUUAUUAUUGAUGUUAUUGGAUUCAAAUGUUGUUAUAUUAUUUUGGUAAAUGAUGCUAUGCGCGGUUAGUACAUCUGAAUUUUUAGUUUUUAUCCUAUUUCUAUAUAAAUUAUUUUUUUUUAACUUGAAUUUAUUUUGCAUAUUUUUUUUUUAUUUAAGCAGUUUUACUAAAUAGUUCAUUUACUAUUUUCUUUGUUUCUUCCAAUAAAUUUAAAAGAUAAUUUGUUAUUUCUUAUGGUAUACCACAUAUCUUAGAGUAAAUAUUCAUUUACUACAGGGGGAUGAAUAUUUAAAAAUUGUUUAAAUUGUUAGAGUAAAUAUUUAAUAUAAUUUUUUAUUAAUUAAAAAUAAAUAUAUUUGUUAAAUUUUGUACAUGUUUUUUUAAGACUAAAUAAAUCAUGCUAUGUGGAUAAUUAGUUAUGUUUUUUUCUUAGGGUGGCAUUACAUCAUUUAUUUCUGAGUAUUCAUGCUGUUGUACUGGAAGUUA
rnacentral:lncRNA from 1 species